rnacentral:rRNA from 1 species
CCUACGGGAGGCAGCAGUGAGGAAUAUUGGUCAAUGGGCGCGAGCCUGAACCAGCCAAGUAGCGUGAAGGAUGACUGCCCUACGGGUUGUAAACUUCUUUUAUCAAGGGAUAAAGUGAGGCACGUGUGCCUUUUUGUAUGUACUUUAUGAAUAAGGAUCGGCUAACUCCGUGCCAGCAGCCGCGGUAAUACGGAGGAUCCGAGCGUUAUCCGGAUUUAUUGGGUUUAAAGGGAUCGUAGGUGGGUUGUUAAGUCAGUUGUGAAAGGUUGCGGCUCAACCGUAGACGUGCAAUUGAUACUGGCAGUCUUGAGAACAGGUGAGGUAGGCGGAAUUCGCGGUGUAGUGGUGAAAUGCUUAGAUAUCGCGAAGAACUCAGAUUGCGAAGGCAGCAUACUAACCGGCCACUGACAUUGAUGCUCGAAAGUGUGGGUAUCAAACAGGAUUAGAUACCCGAGUAGUC